CUAUUAUUGCAUUUCCGAAGAGUCGAGGGUCUUGAGCAGCCGCUCUGUUCUUCAAAGGUCGGAGUCACCGAUCAUGCUUGCUUGAUCUGCUGCUUCAGCUGCUUCCAGAGAAAUGGGCUUUUCUUCGUUCAUUGUCUGGGUUUUUUUGGGAGGAAAGAUUGAUUGAAUUUUGCAAAGCAAGAGAGAACUCACUAAGAAUCCCAAAUACUCUCUGUUCUUUUCUUGUGCUGCUGAUAUUGUUGUAGUUUUUGGAUGAUAUGAAAUAUGCUGAUCAUGCCCAGGUACCAAUUUUGGUUUUCGUGGACGGUUCAGCUUAGGAUUUCAUUGCAGAACACAAUGAUUUCAAUUAAGCUACAUUGGCCCAACAUGGAUUUUCUGUGAGAUAUGCUUGGGAGUAAAAGGACUCACUCAUAGCCGAGGAGAAAAUGGUGCAGGAAGACAGCAAUCUCUAGCUUGGCUAACUCAUUUCCCGGGCAUAACCUACUGCCUCCUCCAAAGGGAAGAAAUGUUCCAGCUUUGGGUGUGAAAUCCUUGAAUAACAAAGCAAAAUUCAUCUCUUAAUGUAUGCCCUGAUUUAAUUGCUCUAUGAAUAAUCAUUAGACAAUGGACCAUAAACAUGUAUACACAUAACAAGGUGGCCAACUUACAUCCCAUCUAGAGGGGUCGAACUUCUUAGGAUCGGUGUAUACUUGAGGAUCCAAGUGAACAUUUCUGAACCAUAGCUGAACUUUCCAAUCCUUGGGUAUCAGAUAGCCUGUGACAUGACUUGCAUAAUUGAUCAACAUUUGAAUGAGCCUUUUGUAA